rnacentral:rRNA from 1 species
UACGUAGGGUGCGAGCGUUAAUCGGAAUUACUGGGCGUAAAGCGUGCGCAGGCGGUUAUGUAAGACAGGUGUGAAAUCCCCGGGCUUAACCUGGGAACUGCAUUUGUGACUGCAUGGCUCGAGUGCGGCAGAGGGGGAUGGAAUUCCGCGUGUAGCAGUGAAAUGCGUAGAUAUGCGGAGGAACACCGAUGGCGAAGGCAAUCCCCUGGGCCUGCACUGACGCUCAUGCACGAAAGCGUGGGGAGCAAACAGG